rnacentral:rRNA from 1 species
AUGCACGCUGGCGGCGUGCCUAAUACAUGCAAGUCGAGCGAACAGACGAGGAGCUUGCUCCUCUGACGUUAGCGGCGGACGGGUGAGUAACACGUGGAUAACCUACCUAUAAGACUGGGAUAACUUCGGGAAACCGGAGCUAAUACCGGAUAAUAUAUUGAACCGCAUGGUUCAAUAGUGAAAGACGGUUUUGCUGUCACUUAUAGAUGGAUCCGCGCCGCAUUAGCUAGUUGGUAAGGUAACGGCUUACCAAGGCAACGAUGCGUAGCCGACCUGAGAGGGUGAUCGGCCACACUGGAACUGAGACACGGUCCAGACUCCUACGGGAGGCAGCAGUAGGGAAUCUUCCGCAAUGGGCGAAAGCCCGACGGAGCAACGCCGCGUGAGUGAUGAAGGUCUUCGGAUCGUAAAACUCUGUUAUUAGGGAAGAACAAAUGUGUAAGUAACUAUGCACGUCUUGACGGUACCUAAUCAGAAAGCCACGGCUAACUACGUG